rnacentral:rRNA from 1 species
UACGUAGGGGGCAAGCGUUGUCCGGAAUCAUUGGGCGUAAAGAGCGUGUAGGCGGCCCGGUAAGUCCGCUGUGAAAGUCCAGGGCUCAACCCUGGGAUGCCGGUGGAUACUGUCGGGCUCGAGUCCGGAAGAGGAGUGUGGAAUUCCUGGUGUAGCGGUGAAAUGCGCAGAUAUCGGGAGGAACACCAAUGGCGAAGGCAGCUCGCUGGGACGUUACUGACGCUGAGACGCGAAAGCGUGGGGAGCAAACAGG